UACGGAGGGGGCUAGCGUUGUUCGGAAUUACUGGGCGUAAAGCGCACGUAGGCGGCUUUGUAAGUUAGAGGUGAAAGCCCAGGGCUUAACCCUGGAAUUGCCUUUAAGACUGCAUCGCUAGAAUCGUGGAGAGGUGAGUUGGAAUUCCGAGUGUAGAGGUGAAAUUCGUAGAUAUUCGGAAGAACACCAGUGGCGAAGGCGACUCACUGGACACGUAUUGACGCUGAGGUGCGAAAGCGUGGGGAGCAAACAGG
rnacentral:rRNA from 1 species